GGGGAAUCUUGCGCAAUGGGCGAAAGCCUGACGCAGCCAUGCCGCGUGAAUGAUGAAGGUCUUAGGAUUGUAAAAUUCUUUCACCGGGGACGAUAAUGACGGUACCCGGAGAAGAAGCCCCGGCUAACUUCGUGCCAGCAGCCGCGGUACUACGAAGGGGGCACGCGUUGUUCGGAAUUACUGGGCGUAAAGGGCGCGUAGGCGGCUUACCAAGUCAGGCGUGAAAUUCCCGGGCUCAACCUGGGGGCUGCGCUUGAUACUGGUGAGCUUGAAUACGGGAGAGGAUAGUGGAAUUCCCAGUGUAGAGGUGAAAUUCGUAGAUAUUGGGAAGAACACCAGUGGCGAAGGCGGCUAUCUGGCCCGUUAUUGACGCUGAGGCGCGAAAGCGUGGGGAGCAAA
rnacentral:rRNA from 1 species